CCCGAAGGUGGCCGGCCGGGCGGACGGCGGUCGUGUCGCCGCCGUGGUCAAGGAGCUGCUGGCGGGUUAGGGCCCCGUCUCCGGCC
rnacentral:tRNA from 1 species